rnacentral:rRNA from 1 species
GACGAACGCUUGCGGCGUGCCUAAGAAAUGCAAGUCGAGCGAGGCCAGGGAGCUUGCUCCUGAAGCCUAGCGGCGAACGGUCGCGUAACACGUAAGCAACCUGCCCCCAAGACCGGGAUAGCCCACCGAAAGGUGGAUUAAUACCGGAUGUGGAUAUGGUAAGGCAUCUUUGUCAUAUCUAAACCAGGCGACUGGCUUGGGGAUGGGCUUGCGGCCUAUCAGCUAGUUGGUGUAGUAACGGUGCACCAAGGCGACGACGGGUAGCUGGUCUGAGAGGAUGGUCAGCCGGACUGGGACUGAGAUACGGCCCAGACUCCUACGGGGGGCAGCAAUUAGGAAUCUUGCGCAAUGGGGGAAACCCUGACGCAGCGACGCCGCGUGAAGGAUGACGGCCUUCGGGUUGUAAACUUCUUUUAAGGGGUAAGGAAGUAAAGUAGACGGUACCCUUCGAAUAAGCCCGGCUAACUACGUG